rnacentral:snoRNA from 1 species
GGCUGAAGACUGCGGUUUUUUUAAAUCAGUGGUUUACAUAGCCAGACACCAGGCAGAAAAGAAAAGAGUGGUCUUCCCUUUAAAGUGGUUAUAAUCAUGUGCUAAGUUUUUUUUUUUUCCCCCCCAUAACAUAUCAUUAUUCAAGGGAAAUACAAAG